rnacentral:rRNA from 1 species
AAUUUUUGACAAUGGGGGAAACCCUGAUCCAGCCAGCCCGCGUGUAUGAUGAAGGCCUUAGGGAUGUAAAGUACUUUUGGCAGCGAAGAAAAGUUAUCUCCUAAUACGAGAUACUGCUGACGGUAUCUGCAGAAUAAGCACCGGCUAACUACGUGCCAGCAGCCGCGGUAAUACGUAGGGUUCAAGCGUUAAUCGGAAUUACUGGGCGUAAAGCGUGUGUAGGCGGUUCGGAAAGAAAGAUGUGAAAUACCAGGGCUCAACCUUGGAACUGCAUUUUUAACUGCCGAGCUAGAGUAUGUCAGAAGGGGGUAGAAUUCCACGUGUAGCAGUGAAAUGCGUAGAUAUGUGGAGGAAUACCGAUGGCGAAGGCAGCCCCCUGGGAUAAUACUGACGCUCAGAAACGAAAACGUGGGGAGCAAACAGG